UAAUUUUAAUAGAGACAGGGUUUCAGCGUGUUAGCCAGGAUGGUCUCGAGCUCCUGACCUUGUGAUUCGCCCGCCUCAACCUCCCAAAGUGCCUGGCCUUCAUUUUUAUUUUUGAACUUACCUGCCUCACCUCGUUAUGUCUUUAUCUUAUUUUUAAACUUACUCAGUUCACCCACUGUGGAAUUGGGAGUAUAUGGAAGUAUUCCCACCCCCAGUUUUAUAUACCGCCCCAGAGCUGACCAUUCUCGCUCAUUUCCCCGGGUCCUGGCCGACUCGAGUGUGCCUUUCCUUCCGAUCCUGCUCCACACAGAUCUGAGGGAUGCUGCCCUUUCCUUCUCCACCUGCCCCUCCCUCACAUCCAGCCCCACCAGCCUACACGUUAGCUUAAAUAGGGAGCUUUUACAUUCCCCAUGAAAGGGAAUCCAGGGACAGGCUGAGGCAAGAGACCCCCAGUGUUCAUGAGAUGCCAUCUAGAGAAAACACCGUGGUGCUGAAGGCCUAAGUCAGACCCCGGGGAGAGAGGCACCAGGGUGACUUUGGGUGGAGAGUCCUGUGCCUGUUCUACUUCUAUAAAUAUACUCAGGUCAGGCACGGUGGCUCACGCCUGUAAUCCCAGCACGUUGGGAGGCCGAGGCAGGCGGAUCAUUUGAGGUCAGGAGUUCAAGACUAGCCUGGCCAACAUGGUGAAACCCCAUCUCUACUAAAAAUACAAAAAAAUGGCUGGGCACAGUGGCUCACACCUGUAAUCCCAGCAUGUUGGGAGGCCAAGGCAGGCAGAUCAUUUGCGGUCGGGAGUUCAAGACCAGCCUGACCAACAUGGAGAAACCCCGUCUCUACUAAUAAUACAAAAAUUAGCCAGGCAUGGUGGCACAUGCCUGUAAUCCCAGCUACUCGGGAGACUGAGGCAUAAGAAUCGCUUGAACCCAGGAGGCAGAGGUUCUGGUGAGCCGAGAUCACGCCAUUGCACUCCAGCCUGGGCAACAAAAAGCAAAACUCCAUCUCAAAAAAAAAAUACAAAAAAAUGAGCUGGGCGUGGUGGCCUGCACCUGUAAUCCCAGCUACUUGGGAGGCUGAGGCAGGAGAAUCACUUGAACCCAGAAGGUGGAGGUUGCGGUGAGCAGAGACCACACCACUGCACUCCAGCCUGGGUGACAGAGUGAACCAUGUCUCUAAAUAAAUAAAUAAUAUGUUUGUCUGAAAGUGCCUUUUUAACAAAGUAUGAGAUGUGUACAUAAAGUGCACAUAGCGCAAGUGUCGCACGCAGUGGAUUUUCACACGCAGCACGUGAAAUGGGAAAACACUGGCCCGGCACGGUGGCUCACACCUGUCAUCCCAGCACUUUGGGAGGCCGAGGCGGGCGGAUCACAAGGUCAGGAGAUCGAGACCAUCCUGGCUAACACGGUAAAACCGCGUCUCUACUAAAAAUACAAAAAAUUAGCCGGGCGUGGUGGCGGGCGCCUGUAGUCCCAGCUACUUGGGAGGCUGAGGCAGGAGAAUGGCGUGAACCCGGGAGGCGGAGCUUGCAGUGAGCCAAGAUCGCGCCACUGCACUCCAGCCUGGGCGACAGAGCUAGACUCCGUCUCAAAAAAAAAAAAAAAAAGAAAUGGGAAAACAUUGAGGAUGAAGUAGCAAAUAUUUGAGAAUUCAACUUGAUUGGUGGCUGUUGCAGGUUCAUACGUGAGUGGUUACGUAGUGGGUAGUUAAACUGACAAUGACCAGCUGAAUUUUGGUGACAGGACUGCUCCUAAGGUUUGAAAUGUAGCGUAUCCUCUGAUUCACGGGCUAAGCUCUGCCACUUAGCAGGAGGAGCUCAUGAUAGAGCAGGUUGAGGGGAAAACUUUGCCCCAUAAGGGUUCUUCACUGCAAGUGAGAAGGUCUUGGCUUUGAGCCUCCAAUUUCAAUCAGACAGAAAGCAGACCAGUCGGCAGGACAGUAUAUGCCUCUGGAGAUCCGUGCUGAUGUGGGGGCCUCAGAUACAAGAUGCCUCAGGGCCCAGGCGUGACCCUCUCCUUCCCUCCUGCACGGAGAUGCUGUGAGAAUUAGACACUCCCACAGGGCCCUGUCAGACACUGAGCUAGCCUCUGGGAACCGGAAGAUAUUCAAAACACCAGCCACCCCCCACACACACAGACAAGGCGCUGGAGGGACAGCUGUGCAGCGGCAGAGCAUGAGAGGUCUUGAUCAGUUAACUCAGUGAGGUUAGGAGGCGAAUUUUUUUUUUUUUGAGAUGGAGUCUUACUUUGUCACCCAGUCAGGAGUGCAGUGGCGUGAUCUCGGCUCACUGCAACCUCCGCCUCCUGGCCUCAAGUGAUUCUUCCGCCUCAGCCUCCCGAGUAGCUGGGACUACAGGUGCGUGCCACCACACCCAGCUAAUUUUUGUAUUUUUGGUAGAGACAGUGUUUCACCACGUUGGACAGGCUGGUCUCAAUCUCUUGACCUCGUUAUCUGCCUGCCCUGGCCUCCCAAAGUGCUGGGAUUAUAGGUGUGAGCCACAAAGCCUUUUUGUUUUCAUUUUUGAGAUGGAGUCUCGCUCUGUCGCCCAGGCUGGAGUGCAGUGGCAUGAUCUCAGCUCACUGCAACCUCUGCAUCCCAGUUCAAGCAGUUCUCCGCCUCGGCCUCCUGAGUAGCUGGGAUCACAGGUGCCCGCCACCACACUUGGCUAAUUUUUUGUAUUUUUAGUAGAGAUGAGGUUUCACCGUGGUGGCCAGGCUGGUCUCAAACUCCUGACCUCAAAUGAUCUGCCUGCCUCGGCUUCCCAAAGUGCUGGGAUGACACUGAGCCACCGCGCCUGGCAAGGAGGUAACUUGAUCCAUACGUUUGCGUUUACAUGGUGCGAGGAAAGGGCACCCUUGGUAGAUGGAACAGCGUGUACAAAGGCCCGGAGGUUUAAAAUCACCACUCUUCUAGCCCUCAUACUAACUUUGCCUAUUUUGAACUUUAUAUAAAUGGAAUUAUAUUGCAUGUUCUCUUUUGUAUCUGACUUCCUUUUCUCAAUACUAUAUGAGUGGUAUCCAUGCCAUUUAAAGUAAUGGUGGAUUAACUCAAUGCUACGUCGCCUUCUAGUUGAUGGAGGGCAGGCAAGACCCACAGUGGGGCUGAGCCCCUCGAGGGUUCCUGGCUUUGCCCAGGAAACAAUUCAAGGGCAAGCUGGAAGUGAAAGUAAACAGGCCAGGCAUGGUGGGAGUUACUACCCCUUUCCAUGGCAAUGACCCCACGACCCAAAAGUUACUACCCCUUCCCUAGAAACUUUUGCCUGGGCUGCCCCUUAAUCUACAUGAAAUUAAAAGUGGGUGUAAAUGUGGCUGCAGAACUGUCCUGAGCUGCUGCUCUCAGCACACUCUGCCCAGCACACCCCGCCUGCAGGGGCCGUCGCAGAGCUGUAACCCUGCCGCUUCAAGCUGUUUUGUUUUGUUUUUCUUUCGAGACAGUCUCGCUCUGCUCUUCCAGUUUGAAUAUCACGCAGGCUGGAGCGCAGUGGCGCAAUCUCGGCUCACUGCAACCUCUGCCUCCUGGGUUCAAGCAAUUCUGCCUCAGCCACCCGAGUAGCUGGGAUUACAGGCACACGCCACCAUGCCCGGCUAAUUUUUGUAUUGUAUUAGAGACAGGGUUUCACCAUGUUGGCGAGGCUGGUCCCGAACUCCUGGCCUCAAGUGAUCUGCCCGCCGUCCGCCUCAGUGUCCCGAGGUGCUGGGAUUACAGGUGUGAGCCACCGCACCCAGCAAAAGUGCUUUCUCGAGAUGGAAUCUGCGCCUGGUGAAGAUGCUCUAAACAUUGCUGAGAUAACAAAGGAUUUAGAAUAUUCCAUAAACUUCGUUGGUACAGCAGCGAUAGGGUUCGAGAGGAUUUUCCAGUUGUGAGAGAAGGUCUGCUGUGGACAAAAUGCUACCAAACAGCAUCGCGUGCUACGGAGAAAUCUUUUGUGAAAGGAAGAAGCUCAAUGUGGCCAGCUUUAUUGUUGUCUUAUUUUAAGAAAUUGCUGGCCGGGUGUGGUGGAGAAUCACUUGAACCCAGGAGGCAGAGGUUGCAGUGAGCCGAGAUCACGCCAUUGAACUCCAGCUGGGCAUAAGAGCAAAACUCCAUCUCAAAAAAAAAAAAAAAAAGGAAGAAAUUGCCACAGCCACCUCAGCCUUCAGCCACCACCACCCUGAUCAGUCAGCAGCCACAAACAAGACCUUCCACCAGCAAAGAGAUCCCAACUUCCUCAAGCCUCAGGUGAUUGCUGGCACUUUCUAUCAGUAUCUUAGUUUUUUGUUUGUUUGUUUUUUAAUUUUUGAGACAGAGUCUCACUCUCUUGCCCAGGCUGGAAUGUAGUGGCACCAUCUCGGCUCACUGCAACCUCCGCCUCCCAGGUUCAAGCGAUUCUCUUACCUUAGCCUCCGGAGGAGCUGGGACUACAAGCACGCACCACCACACCCGGCUGAUUUUUUUCCAUUUUUAGUAGAGACGGGGUUUCACCAUGUUGGCCAGGCUGGUCUCGAACUCCUGGCCUCAGGUGAUCCGCCCACCUUGGCCUCCCACAGUGCUAGGAUUACAGGUGUGAGCCACCACCCCCAGCCAUUUUUUUUUUGAGACGAGGUCUUGCUUUGUUGCCCAGACUAGAGUGCAGUGACAUUAUCUCGGCUCACGGCAACCUCUGCCUCCCAGGCUGAAGCAAUCCUCCCACCUCUGUCUCCCUAGUAGCUGGGACCACAGGUGCACACCCCCACACCCGGCUAAUUUUUUGUAUUUUUGGUAGAGACAGGGUUUCACCAUGUUGCCCAGGCUGGUCUCCUGAGCUCAUGCAAUCUGCCCACUUGACCUCCCAAAGUGCUGGGAUUACAGGUGUGAGCCACUGUGCCCAGCCUAUUAUUAUUAUUAUUUAUUGUUUUUUUGGUCUUGAGGGAGGGUAGGGUGGUGGGAGCCCAGUUGGGGAGGGAGUGAGGAGUGGUCAAUAAAGUAUUUUAAAUUGAGGCAUAUGCAUUGUUUUGUAAACAUAAUGUUAUUGCACACCUGACUGCACUGUGGUAUAAACAUAACUUUUAUAUGCAGUGGAAAACCGAAAAAUCCCUCCGACUGGCUUUAUUGCGACAUUUGUGUUAUUGCGGUGUCUAGAACUGAACCGUGGUAACCCAGGCCCGCCUGUGCUAACUUCCAGCACUACCGAGGUUGACGCAGCUAGAUGGUUUUCUCCCCGGCUGGUUGCUGCUUCUCACCCACAGAGGCGGUGGAGCCCUUGGAACUGGGCAGAACACAGGGCUGCCUUGUCACCACUGCCUGGCUGAACCUGAAAUUGGGCCGUUUGACAGAAAGACUUGAAAGGGCCACCAGUAAAUUCUUUUUUCUUUUCAUUGAUUUUCCUCUUCUUACUUUCCUCCUCCUGAAGUUGGGGUCAUGUCCCAAGAAGACCCACAAGGCCUGGCCUGUGGGUGCACAUGUGGGGAGGGUCAGGUCUGUCGGCUGAGGAGGGCAUUGGUAGGGGACUUUGAGCAGUGCUGCUCCGGAGACACGAAUGAUGGGAUGGGAGGCUCUCCCAUAUCUGCCGAGAGCACAGCACCCCAUGACUCCUGGGAGCUUGUCAUAGAUGCUGCAGAUGAGUCCUUCCUCAGACGGGAUAUUUGCUAAUGCCUCUGCCAGCCUGGGCUUGUCUUCUCAGGGCCUUUCAAAAUGCACACACCCUUCAUUCUCAUGAUGUCCAGUGGAUCAGGUUUUCCUUUAUGUGUCAUGCUUUUAGUGUUUAAGAAUCAUUUCUCUAACCCAAGUCACACUGACAUCCUCCUUUUCAUUCUUAACGCACAUUUUACAGUUGUAGGCCUUACAUUUUGGCUUAUAAUAAGUUCUGAGGCCAGGCACAGUGCUCACACCUGUAAUCCUGGCACUUUGAGAGGCCAAGGCGGGUGGAUCACCAGAGGUCAGGAGUUUGACACAAGCCUGGCCAACAUGGUGAAACCCCG
rnacentral:lncRNA from 1 species